rnacentral:rRNA from 1 species
CCGCGGUAAUAACGGGGAUGGCGAAGCGUUUCCCGGAUUUUAUGGGUUUAAAGGUGGGUAAGCGGUAAAAUAAGUUAAGUGGUAAAUUUCUAUGCUCCAAACAUAGUUUCAGCCAUAAAACUUUUUUACUCGAGUCCGUCGAAGGUAGGCGGAAAAAAGUUAAGUAGCGGUGAAAUGCUUAGAUAUAACUAAGAACUCCAAUUGCGAAGGCAGCUUACCAGCCUGUAACUGACGCUGAUGCACGAUAGCGUGGUAGCAAACAGGAUUAGAUACCCUGGUAGUCCACGCCGUAAACUAUGCUCACUGAUUCUAUGCGAUAUGACCGUAUGGGAUCCAGCGAAAGUAUUAAGUGAGCCACCUGGGGAGUACGUCGGCAACGAUGAAACUCAAAGGAAUUGACGGGGGCCCGCACAAGCGGAGGAACAUGUGGUUUAAUUCGAUGAUACGCGAGGAACCUUACCCGGGUUUAAAUGUUGAAUGAUCGGGGCCGAAAGGUCUUUUCUCUUCGGAGCAUUUUUCAAGGUGCUGCAUGGUUGUCGUCAGCUCGUGCCGUGAGGUGUCGGGUUAAGUCCCCUAACGAGCGCAACCCCUAUCUUUAGUUGCCAUCGGGUCAUGCCGGGCACUCUAACGAGACUGCCACCGUAAGGUGAGAGGAAGGCGGGGAUGACGUCAAAUCAGCACGGCCCUUACACCCGGGGCUACACACGUGUUACAAUGGACGGAACAGAGGGUUGCUACUUAGUGAUAAGAUGCUAAUCUCAAAAUCCGUUCUUAGUUCGGAUUGGAGUCUGUAACUCGACUCCAUGAAGUUGGAUUCGCUAGUAAUCGCGCAUCAGCCAUGGCGCGGUGAAUACGUUCCCGGGCCUUGUACACACCGCCCGUCAAGCCAUGGAAUCCGGGGGUGCCUGAAGUUCGUGACCGCAAGGAGCGACCUAGGGCAAAACCGGUAACUGGGGCU